rnacentral:rRNA from 1 species
UACGGAGGGGGCUAGCGUUGUUCGGAAUGACUGGGCGUAAAGCGCACGUAGGCGGAUGUCCGAGUCGGGGGUGAAAUCCCGGGGCUCAACCCCGGAACGGCCUUCGAUACUGGAUGUCUUGAGGAUGGGAGAGGCGAGUGGAAUUCCGAGUGUAGAGGCGAAAUUCGUAGAUAUUCGGAGGAACACCAGUGGCGAAGGCGGCUCGCUGGCCCAUUACUGACGCUGAGGUGCGAAAGCGUGGGGAGCAAACAGG